rnacentral:lncRNA from 1 species
ACAUGGCAGUGGUCCAUUGCAGCCGAGGUUUUUAGCUUAAACAAUCUGUUUGUGGGGCUGCUCAUGGCGCUUACCGUGCGUUUUGAGGAGGCAACAGCCGCAAAGGAGAGAUCAAAGAUAGCAGCCAUUGGAGCUUUCUCAUGUGGCCUCAGCUUGUGUAAUCAGCACACAAUAGUCCUCUAUGUUUUAUGCAUAAUACCCUGGAUUCUUUUCCGACUCCUGAAAGAGAAGGAACUCACCCUUAGCCUGCUGCUGAAGCUGGCCCUGGCCUUCUCUGCUGGCCUGCUGCCCUACGUCUACCUGCCAGUCUCAUCCUACCUCAGUCAUGCCCGCUGGACCUGGGGAGACCAGACGACACUGCGAGGGUUUCUAACACAUUUUCUCAGGGAAGAAUAUGGAACAUUCAGCCUGGCCAAGUCUGAAGUAGGAUCAAGCGCGUCUACAGUGCUGCUUUCACAGAUAAUAAAUAUGAAGACCGAACUUUCAUUCAAUAUCCAAGCUCUUGCCGUUUGGGCAAAUGUAUGUUUACCUAGAAAGUGAGUGAUGCCUCCUUUGCUGCUGCUUUCCCAUGUUCUCUCGUCGAAUCUGCGUUUUAUAGAUCACUAUAGGGUGCUGCCAGCAUUGCCUUAGAUUUACAAUAAAUGACUCCCAAUCUUUUCUAUU